GUGGGGAAUCUUGCGCAAUGGGCGAAAGCCUGACGCAGCCAUGCCGCGUGAAUGAUGAAGGUCUUAGGAUUGUAAAAUUCUUUCACCGGGGACGAUAAUGACGGUACCCGGAGAAGAAGCCCCGGCUAACUUCGUGCCAGCAGCCGCGGUAAUACGAAGGGGGCUAGCGUUGCUCGGAAUUACUGGGCGUAAAGGGCGCGUAGGCGGACAGUUUAGUCAGAGGUGAAAGCCCAGGGCUCAACCUUGGAAUUGCCUUUGAUACUGGCUGUCUUGAGUACGGGAGAGGUGAGUGGAACUCCGAGUGUAGAGGAGAAAUUCGUAGAUAUUCGGAAGAACACCAGUGGCGAAGGCGACUCACUGGCCCGUUACUGACGCUGAGGCGCGAAAGCGUGGGGAGCAAACAGGAUUAGAUACCCUGGUAGUCC
rnacentral:rRNA from 1 species